CCUUGGAAAACUGAGGCUAAAACCGGAUAUGGGAAAAUAAUUGGAAAAUGUUUUCCUUUAAAAGCAAUGUCUAAGGAUGAGACGGCGGCGGAUUAGGUUGUUGGCGGGGUAAUGGCCCACCAAGCCGACGAUCCGUAGGGGCCGUGAGAGCGGUAGCCCCGAGAAGGACACUGAGAUACUGGUCCUAGCCCUACGGGGUGCAGCAGGCGCGAAACCUUUACAAUGCACGAAAGUGUGAUAAGGGAACCCUAAGUGCUCAUGUUUUACAUGGGCUUUUGCCAAGAAUAAAUAUCUUGGCGAAUAAGUGGUGGGGAAGACUGGUGCCAGCAGCCGCGGUAACACCAGCGCCACAAGUAGGGACCACUACUAUUGGGCCUAAAGCGUCCGUAGCCGGCUGAAUAAAUUUCUUGUGAAAUUGCUGGGCUUAACCUAACAACGUGCAGGAAAAACUGUUCAGCUUGGAACCGGGAGAAGUCAGGAGUAUGCUGGGGGGAGCGGUAAAAUGUUAUAAUCCCCGGUAGACUACCAGUGGCGAAGGCGCCUGACUAGAACGGAUUCGACGGUGAGGGACGAAAGCCAGGGGAGCGAAGCGGAUUAGAUACCCGUGUAGUCCUGGCCGUAAACGCUGCGAGCUAGGUGUUGCAUAUUCUACAUGAAUAUGCAGUAUCGGAGCGAAGGUGAUAAGCUCGCCGCCUGGGAAGUAUGGUCGCAAGGCUGAAACUUAAAGGAAUUGGCGGGGGAGCACUACAAGGGGUGCGGCGUGCGGUUUAAUCUAAUUCAACGCAGAGAAUCUCACCAGAAGCGACGGCAGGAUGAAAGUCAGGCUAAAGGUCUUACUUGACGAGCCGAGAGGUAGUGCAUGGCCGCCGUCAGCUCGUGCUGUAAAGUGUCCUGUUAAGUCAGGCAACGAGCGAGACCUGCAUCUACAAUUGCUAACGGAUUCUUUAGAAUGACUGAGCACAUUGUGGAGACUGCCCUGGAAACAGGGAGGAAGGUGCAGGCUACGGUAGGUCUGUAUGCUCCGAAUCUUCUGGGCUACACGCGCGCAACAAUGGUAAGGACAAUGGGAUGCGACUCCGAAAGGAGGAGCUAAUCCUCGAAACCUUAUCCAAGUCUAGAUUGAGGAUUGUAACUCAUCCUCAUGACAAUGGAAUCCCUAGUAAUCAGAGUUUAUCAUACUCCGGUGAACAUGUCCCUGCUCCUUGCACACACCGCCCGUCAAGCCACCCGAGUAGGGUUUAGGUGAGAGGUAAGUUUUAUUUGCAUCGAACCUAAGCUCAGCGAGGAGGGCUAAGUCGUCACAAGGUA
rnacentral:rRNA from 1 species